rnacentral:rRNA from 1 species
GAUGAACGCUGGCGGCGUGCCUAAUACAUGCAAGUCGAACGAAACUUCUUUAUCACCGAGUGCUUGCACUCACCGAUAAAGAGUUGAGUGGCGAACGGGCGAGUAACACGUGGGCAACCUGCCCAAAAGAGGGGGAUAACACUUGGAAACAGGUGCUAAUACCGCAUAACCAUAGUUACCGCAUGGGAACUAUGUAAAAGGUUGCUAUACUACCGCUUGUGGAUGGGCCCGCGGCCAAUUAGCUAGUUGGUCGGGUAAAGGCUUACCAAGGCAAUGAUUCGUAGCAGAAUUGAGAGGUUGGUCGGCCACAUUGGAACUGAGACACUGACCCAACUCCUACGGGAGGCCGCAGUCGAGCACCUUCCGCACUGAGCGAAAGCCUGAUUGAGCAACGCCGCGUGUGUGAAGAAGAUCGUCGGCUCGUAAAACCCUGUUGUUAGAGAAGAACGUGCGUGAGAGUAACAGUUCGUGUUUCGACUGCAUCUAGCCAGCAAGCCACUGCUAUCUAGGU